CCUACGGGAGGCAGCAGUGAGGAAUAUUGGUCAAUGGGCGCUAGCCUGAACCAGCCAAGUAGCGUGAAGGAUGACUGCCCUAUGGGUUGUAAACUUCUUUUAUAUGGGAAUAAAGCUCAGUAUGUAUAUUGAUCUGCAUGUACCUUAUGAAUAAGGAUCGGCUAACUCCGUGCCAGCAGCCGCGGUAAUACGGAGGAUCCGAGCGUUCUCCGGAUUUAUUGGGUUUAAAGGGAGCGUAGGCGGGUUGUUAAGUCAGUUGUGAAAUUUUGCGGCUCAACCGUAAAAUUGCAGUUGAUACUGGCAACCUAGAGAACAGAAGAGGUAGGCGGAAUUCGUGGUGUAGCGGUGAAAUGCUUAGAGAUCACGAAGAACACCGAUUGCGAAGGCAGCCUGCCGGACUGUAACUGACGCUGAUGCUCGAAAGUGUGGGUAUCAAACAGGAUUAGAUACCCCUGUAGUC
rnacentral:rRNA from 1 species